rnacentral:rRNA from 1 species
GGAGGGUGCGAGCGUUAAUCGGAAUUACUGGGCGUAAAGCGCGCGCAGGCGGGCUGGGGUCAGUCGGGAUGUGAAAGCCCCGGGGCUUAACCUGGGAAUUGCAUUCGAUACUGCCCGGCUAGAGUAUGGGAGAGGGAAGUGGAAUUUCCGGUGUAGCGGUGAAAUGCGUAGAUAUCGGAAGGAACACCAGUGGCGAAGGCGGCUUCCUGGCCCAAUACUGACGCUCAGGUGCGAAAGCGUGGGGAGCGAACAGGAUUAGAUACCCUGGUAGUCCACGCUGUAAACGAUGAGAACUAGAUGUUGGGAGGGUUAGCCUCUCAGUGUCGCAGCUAACGCGUUAAGUUCUCCGCCUGGGGAGUACGACCGCAAGGUUG